AGUGCUACAACUGGUGAGGGAUUGUAUGAAGGCCUAGACUGGCUGUCCAGCAACAUUGCCAGCAAGUCCUAAAUUUUCGAGAGGUUUGGACCAUCUAGGAGCCUUUGGAUGAUGAUAUUGCUGGAUAUUUAGGGUUGGGUUGCUAUUCCCGUAUGUAAGGUGUAUGCCCUGAGCUCAAUAGUUAUUGAGCUUUGGUUAAGAUUUUGCAGUUAAAUUGUUUUGUGUAAUUUGGAUCCUUGAGAUGUUUCCGAACCAAACAGCUAAAGAGAGUUCCGUUGAGUUAAUUGGUUGGGGGAAUGCGUGCUGGUAUGCAGUA